ACAAAAAUGCACAUAUUGUGAGCUCGAUGAGUAGGGCGGGACACGUGGUAUCCUGUCUGAAUAUGGGGGGACCAUCCUCCAAGGCUAAAUACUCCUGACUGACCGAUAGUGAACCAGUACCGUGAGGGAAAGGCGAAAAGAACCCCGGCGAGGGGAGUGAAAAAGAACCUGAAACCGUGUACGUACAAGCAGUGGGAGCACGCUUAGGCGUGUGACUGCGUACCUUUUGUAUAAUGGGUCAGCGACUUAUAUUCUGUAGCAAGGUUAACCGAAUAGGGGAGCCGAAGGGAAACCGAGUCUUAACUGGGCGUUAAGUUGCAGGGUAUAGACCCGAAACCCGGUGAUCUAGCCAUGGGCAGGUUGAAGGUUGGGUAACACUAACUGGAGGACCGAACCGACUAAUGUUGAAAAAUUAGCGGAUGACUUGUGGCUGGGGGUGAAAGGCCAAUCAAACCGGGAGAUAGCUGGUUCUCCCCGAAAGCUAUUUAGGUAGCGCCUCGUGAAUUCAUCUCCGGGGGUAGAGCACUGUUUCGGCAAGGGGGUCAUCCCGACUUACCAACCCGAUGCAAACUGCGAAUACCGGAGAAUGUUAUCACGGGAGACACACGGCGGGUGCUAACGUCCGUCGUGAAGAGGGAAACAACCCAGACCGCCAGCUAAGGUCCCAAAGUCAUGGUUAAGUGGGAAACGAUGUGGGAAGGCCCAGACAGCCAGGAUGUUGGCUUAGAAGCAGCCAUCAUUUAAAGAAAGCGUAAUAGCUCACUGGUCGAGUCGGCCUGCGCGGAAGAUGUAACGGGGCUAAACCAUG
rnacentral:rRNA from 1 species